UUUGGGGGGUCCUGGCCCCCAGAUUUGGGGGGUCACGAUUUUGGGUGUCUGACGCUGCCCCCCAGCCCCCCCCGUGCCCCCCGGGGCUGUGGCCGUUUCCUUCGGUGCCUUCGUGGUGGGGGCAGCUCUGGCAGGGGGGCUCUGGCUCGUGCACGGCCGGACAGCCCCCCGGCACCCCCCGGCCCCAGCGCUGCCCCCCAGCCCAUGAGGGGCCAGCUCUGAGCGCUUGGCCUGAGAAAUUCCUGAGGGAAAAGGAAAUUCCGGCAGUGGGAGAUGGCCGCCAGCAGCUCAUCCAGCCCCGAGUCACCGCUCAGCUGCUCAGGACACACCCCAGCAGUGGCUUCCAGGAAGGGAAGAGCUGCACCCUGGGAUCAUUGGCAUGGGGGGGAGACAGAAGCAGCAAACUGGGAUAUUAAUUAAUCAAAAGUUCUGCCGUCUGUAACCAA